GAAGGGACAGUAAUAGUUUGGACUAAUAUUCAAAAAAAAAAAAAUAUUGUAGCCGAUUGUAUUGGAACUACUCCUUACGAUUUCUUGUAUAUCUUUUUUUUUCUUAAUUUUUAAAUAUUUUGUUUUUUAUUUUUAUGAAUAUAUUUAUAUUCGUAUUGUUUAAUUUAUUUGACUAUGAAAAAAUAAUGGGGGUGAUAACUGGCAUUGUCCCAAGCAUCAACAAAAUGGAGGGAGUCAUGGUGGCCUUCUAUAAUUGGUCAAAGGGA
rnacentral:lncRNA from 1 species